GAUGAACGCUGGCGGCAUGCCUAACACAUGCAAGUCGAGCGAACGCACAAGAAGAUCGUUUUUCUGAUGUUAGCGGCGGACGGGUGAGUAACAAGUGGAUAACCUACCUAUAAGACUGGGAUAACUUCGGAAAACCAGAGCUACUACCGCAUCAUACUUUGAACCGCAUGGAUCAAAAGUGAAAGACGGUCUUGCUGUCACUUAUAGAUGGAUCCGUGCUGCAUUAGCUAGUUGGUAAGGUAACGGCUUACCAAGGCGACGAUGCGUAGCCGACCUGAGAGGGUGAUCGGCCACACUGGAACUGAGACACGGUCCAGACUCCUACGGGAGGCAGCAGUAGGGAAUCUUCGGCAAUGGGCGAAAGCCUGACGGAGCAAUGCCGCGUGAGUGAUGAAGGUCUUCGGAUCGUAAAGCUCUUUUAUUAGGAAAGAACAGAUGUAGAAGUAACUGUGCACAUUUUGACGGUACCUAAACAGAAAGCCACGGCUAACUUCGUG
rnacentral:rRNA from 1 species